rnacentral:rRNA from 1 species
CCUACGGGAGGCAGCAGUGAGGAAUAUUGGUCAAUGGGCUUACGCCUGAACCAGCCAAGUCGCGUGAGGGAAGACUGCCCUAUGGGUUGUAAACCUCUUUUGCCAGGGAGCAACGCCGGCUACGUGUAGCCGGACUGAGAGUACCCGAAGAAAAAGCAUCGGCUAACUCCGUGCCAGCAGCCGCGGUAAUACGGAGGAUGCGAGCGUUAUCCGGAUUUAUUGGGUUUAAAGGGUGCGUAGGCGGGUUGAUAAGUUAGAGGUGAAAUUCCGGGGCUCAACACCGGAACUGCCUUGAAUACUGUUGAACUAGAGAGGAGUUGAGGUAGGCGGAAUGUGUGGUGUAGCGGUGAAAUGCUUAGAGAUCAUGCAGAACACCGAUUGCGAAGGCAGCUUACCAAACUAUGUCUGACGUUGAGGCACGAAAGCGUGGGGAGCGAACAGGAUUAGAUACCCGUGUAGUC